AUGCAGAUCCGUGACUUUUGGUCCUGGACUCACGAACGGAAUGGCUUGUUCUCUGUCCGUAGUGCUUACCGUAUGUUGGUAGAUACAAAACUGCGGCGAGAAGCGUGGCUAGAAGGCCAGCCAGACUCAUCAAAUAGUCAAGGGGAGAAGAAGGCGUGGACUAAACUGUGGAAAGUUGAGGUUCCCUCAAAGAUAAAAAAUUUCUUGUGGAGACUGGCGCAACAGUCUCUUCCAACGGCCGACUUGAGGCACCAUCGCAAUAUGUCGGUAACAAAAUCUUGUGAGCUAUGCGGAGCAGAUGAUUCAUGGCAACAUUCUCUAAUCCAUUGCAACAUGGCGCGAUGCGUGUGGGCUUUGGAAGACCCUGAACUUGUUGAAGUCAUGGAAAACAAUACUGAGCCUGAUACGAAGAGGUAG
rnacentral:rRNA from 1 species